CACUGUGUCUCUGGGUGAACACCUCCCCAGACUCUCCCUGGACCUUCAAUCCUUCUCCAGCAAUUGCAUGGUGGCAAGGAAACGUGGCUUGGGAUCGGGAUCGUGUGGUUGGUGAAACCCUAACAUGUGUGAUACCUGCCUGUCCUCAGCCUGGGGUCAGACAUCUGCAUCCCGUUCU